GUGCCAGCCGCCGCGGUAAUACGAAGGGGGCUAGCGUUGUUCGGAAUUACUGGGCGUAAAGCGCACGUAGGCGGAUUGUUAAGUUAGGGGUGAAAUCCCAGGGCUCAACCCUGGAACUGCCUUUAAUACUGGCAAUCUCGAGUCCGAGAGAGGUGAGUGGAAUUCCGAGUGUAGAGGUGAAAUUCGUAGAUAUUCGGAGGAACACCAGUGGCGAAGGCGGCUCACUGGCUCGGUACUGACGCUGAGGUGCGAAAGCGUGGGGAGCAAACAGGAUUAGAUACCCCUGUAGUCC
rnacentral:rRNA from 1 species